rnacentral:rRNA from 1 species
UACAGAGGUCUCAAGCGUUGUUCGGAUUCAUUGGGCGUAAAGGGUGCGUAGGCGGUUGGGUAAGUCUGUCGUGAAAUCUCCGAGCCUAACUCGGAAACUGCGUCGGAUACUAUUCAACUCGAGGAAUGGAGGGGAGACUGGAAUUCUCGGUGUAGCAGUGAAAUGCGUAGAUAUCGAGAGGAACACCAGUGGCGAAGGCGAGUCUCUGGACAUUUCCUGACGCUGAGGCACGAAAGCCAGGGGAGCAAACGGG